AGAGUUUGAUCAUGGCUCAGGAUGAACGCUGGCGGCGUGCCUAAUACAUGCAAGUCGAACGAGGCCCUCUUCCUUCGGGAGGAGGUGUCCUAGUGGCGAACGGGUGAGUAACACGUUGGUGACCUACCCCGAAGAGGGGGACAACCCCGGGAAACUGGGGCUAAUACCCCAUGUGUUCCAGAGCGUUAGAGGGCUUUGGAUGAAAUGGAUGCUUCGCAUUCGCUUCGGGAGGGGCCUGCGGCCUAUCAGCUAGUUGGUGAGGUAAUGGCUCACCAAGGCGACGACGGGUAGGGGACCUGAGAGGGUGACCCCCCACACUGGAACUGAAACACGGACCAGACACCUACGGGUGGCAGCAGUAGGGAAUAUUGCACAAUAGGCGAAAGCCUGAUGCAGCAACGCCGCGUGCGCGAUGAAGGCCUUCGGGUUGUAAAGCGCUUUUCUGGGGGAAGAGAAAGGACGGUACCCCAGGAAUAAGUCUCGGCUAACUACGUGCCAGCAGCCGCGGUAAAACGUAGGAGGCAAGCGUUAUCCGGAUUUACUGGGCGUAAAGCGCGUGCAGGCGGUUUGGUAAGUCGGACGUGAAAGCUCCCGGCUCAACUGGGAGAGGCCGUUCGAAACUGCCAGACUAGAGGGCAGCAGAGGGAGGUGGAAUUCCGGGUGUAGCGGUGAAAUGCGUAGAUAUCCGGAGGAACACCAGUGGCGAAGGCGGCCUCCUGGACUGUCCCUGACGCUAAGACGCGAAAGCUAGGGUAGCAAACGGGAUUAGAAACCCCGGUAGUCCUAGCCGUAAACGAUGCACACUUGGUGUUGGUGGCAUAAAACCCAUCAGUGCCGCAGCUAACGCGAU
rnacentral:rRNA from 1 species